rnacentral:rRNA from 1 species
UACGUAGGGGGCUAGCGUUGUCCGGAUUUAUUGGGCGUAAAGAGCGUGUAGGCGGCCAUGUAGGUCCGGUGUGAAAACUCGAGGCUUAACCUCGAGAUGUCAUCGGAAACCAUUUGGCUAGAGUCCGGAAGAGGAGAGUGGAAUUCCUGGUGUAGCGGUGAAAUGCGCAGAUAUCAGGAAGAACACCAAUUGCGAAGGCAGCUCGCUGGGACGUAACUGACGCUGAGGAGCGAAAGCAUGGGGAGCGAACAGG